rnacentral:lncRNA from 1 species
AUCCCUUGGUAUAAUUCUGUAUCCUCUCUGCGCCUUGUUUUAGACACUGGAUGGUGGCAUGGUCAUGGUUCACCGACUCUGCCCUCCCUAAAAUGUGGUUUGUGCCAUGCCCUUGUCCUGCUUUAGUGGCAGGAAUGGGCUCCUCAGGAGCUGUUUCUCUUGGGCUGAGAACAGGGUUGGCUCUAGGAAGAUGACAGCUCGAUGUGAAGAGAGACCCUCAGCUCCUCUGGGGACAGACGUUUUGACAAAUUUGCAUUAAAUUCCAUGUUGUGUUAAAUUCCACCAGCUUCAGAUACCCGUGACACAACAACCCAUCUCAAACCGCCUAAAGCUCAGAAGCAAAUUAAGUGGCGCUUUCCCUUGAAAACACAUCAACAGGAAACUGGCUUCAUGUGAGGCUUGAAUCAGGACUAAAUCUGCCAAACAGCAUCUCUCAGCCAGCGUCCUCCGGGUUGGCAGCCGACUGGCGUCAGUACCUCGCCUUAACGCCACACUCUCUGCUUCUCUGGCCCAAAGUGUUGAAGAGAGAGGCAGCCUCAGGUACCAGGGCUGUUCACAGGGCUCAUUGCUCCCUCUUUAGCCAGAGCAGUGUCUGACUAUGCCUUUGGUGGCUCUGUAUGGAAGCCUUGAUACUUGAAGGUUUUGAACACUUCUAUGUACUGAACUUUUUUUUUUUUUUUAAUUUCAAGAGGAAUUUUUAAUUCUUGGAAGGAAUUAGAUGUUAAUUCCUGGAAAGAGGGGAGAUUAAAAAUCCCGUGCUUAAGGAUGCAUUUGCAGACCAAGAAGCCGAAACUCAAGGAGACAGAGUGAUUUUGCUACAGCCUCCAGGCAAUUAUUGUUUACAGCAUUUUAUUUCCUACUUAACUGAACUGGAAUGUCAUGAGUCAUAACAGGACUCUGAAUGCUUCUUGGAAACGCAUGCCCUCAUGAAAGAUGUCAAGGAGUGAUGAAGAAAAAUAACUCAGUGAUGCUUGAUGUCUGACAAAUUUGCAAUGAGAGAUAUUCCUAAGAACAUUGUUAUAAUGUAGCCAGUUAUCAUAUGGAUUUGAAUGUAGGUGGUCCAAGGAAGCAAAUCUCAUAUAUAUGUCAGGAUAAUCUUCCAGAACCAUGUUUAUACAAGUCAAAGCUAACUACUAGUGGGUAUAGUCUUUGCCCAGGUGGGUAUACACAGGACUGUUGGCCAUUUAACAGUCCUUUGCAAAUGAAGGAUGGUUUGGAACAAAAGAAGGAGCAAAGGAUCCAGAGAGAGAAGCUUUAGGUUUCUGUUGUUUUUUUUUUUUUUUUUUUUUUUUUUUUUUUUUUUGUCUUUUUAGGGCUGUACCCAUAGCUUAUGGAGAUGCCCAGGUUAGGGGUCGAAUCAGAGCUGCAGCCGCCAGCCUACACCACAGCCACAGCCACAGCCAUGCCAGAUCCAAGCUGCAUCUGCGACCUAUACCACGGCAAUACCGGAUCCUUAACCCACUGAGCGAGGCCAGGGAUCCAACCUGCAUCCUCAUGGAUACUAGUCAGAUUCGUUUCCGUUGAGCCACGAUGGGAACUCCCUCAAGUUAGUUUUUUUGAACCUUAUCUAUAAAGCAGAGAAAGCAUUAUCUGUUGGGAGGAUUAAGUUUUGAACUUAAUUGUGCAGCACUGAAUAUAAGGCUUAUGUUAGCAGAGUCUUCUGGUAGUAACCUAAAUGGAAAUUGCAUUGCUUUGCAUCUAAUUCCAUCUGACUUUUAGCCUCAAAUCAACACUAGCAGCACCCACUGACAUUCUCUGAAUGAGGAACUACAGGGCCAGCUCUUGGCUUGGAGUCCACUGGACAAAAUACUGUUGGGGACUCUCCUGAAUCAGAAGCGUGUGGGGCUUGAUGUCGAAGUCCUGGUCUAUUUUAUAUUUCUGUUUUACUGGAACUUAGUGCUUGUGCAAGGUUAAAUUCUGGAAUCAGGAAACUUUCCAUGAAUUUUCUUUCCAGAGGCCUCCAGGAAGGGCUAGAGGAACCACUAGACAUUUAUGUCUGUGUGUCAUGGGUCUGUACAGACACCAGGGGUGCAAUCAUUCUGACUCAUUUUUCCUAAAUGGAGCAUGUACACACUUCUGUGUGUGUGUGUGUGUGUGUGUGUGUGUGUUUGUGAAUUUAGAGUCCAGAGAUGAGAGGAUGUGAUUUGGUCACAGCUACUUGACAGUUGGUACAGCCAUUGUCUAUGCAGACAUUUAUGAUGAAAGUGGGCAGAUGGAGGAAAGUGUCUGUAUAUUUUGCCCCAGUUUUGCUCACCUUUCUAGAGCUGUAAUUAAUUUUUUCUUUCUUUUCUUUGUUUUUUUUUUCUCUCCCAAAAGUUUGGCUUCUCCCAAGCAAAAUGAAGGAUAUGGAAACUUUGAUGUUGGAUAUGCACAUGUUGGUUAUUUAAUAAUGAUGCUUCUGGUGUUUAUCAUUAUUAGAAAUAUUAAUCACUACAAUGUCCUACUGGCUCUACUUCAGAUUCUCACCGAGGUGAUGGGCGUGGGGUGAUAGCAUGGUAUUUCCUUUAGUAAUAUGUUAGAUUCUCCCAGUGCUCAGGUAAUUUAAACUUAGAAGCAACUGUGACAUUGCGGUUACUGACCAAUUAAAAGAAGCACUGAUCAGUUUAACACAACAGUGAAUGAGGCUGAAUAGCAGCCCUUUAUUAAAAGUCAAAUCUCCACUGAGGUGAACCAAAUUAGACAUUUACCUCCUUUUCUUUUUUUCCCCAUACUCUUAAUUUUAGAACGUUUGUAAUUCUACAACCAUCAUCAUAACCCAAUUUUAUAGCAUUUCCAUCCCAAACCCCCAGCCCAUCCCCCCACCCCUAGCCUGUCUCCUUUGGAAACUGUAAGUUUUUCAAAGUCUGUGGGUCAGUAUCUGUUCUGCAAAGAAGUUCAUUGGGUCCUUUUUUUAGAUUUCACAUGUAAGCAAUAGCAUAUGAUGUUGGUGUCUCACUGUCUGAUUAACUUCACGUAGCGUGAUCAUUUCUAGGUCCAUCCGUGUUGCUUCAGAUGCUGUUAUUUCUUUCCUUUUAAUGGCUGAGUAAUAUUCCAUUGUGUAUAUGUACCAUAUCUUCUUGAUCCACUCCUCUGUCGAUGGGCAUUUAGGUGGUUUCCAUGUCUUGGCUGUUGUAUACAGUGCUGCAGUGAACACUGGAGUACAUAUAUCUUUCCGAGUCGUGGUUCCUCUGGAUAGAUGCCCAGGAGUGGGAUUGCUGGAAUAGACAUUUACAUCAUUUUAUAGAUAGCCUGUGUGCUAGAUCUGAGUCGCAAAAUUUUCUAGGUCGGAUACUUGCUGAAUGACCUAGUCAAGUUGUCUUCAACCUGGAAUUUUUUGGCCCUUAGGUUUUUGUGGAUUUAUUCUCAGGGGCUGGGAGUCCUCUAUCUUCAUUUUUAAAUGUUGUCAUUCCUUUGGGUGCUUAUCUUUAAAAAUUAAUAUAAGUGCACUUCUCUGUUGUAUGAUUGCUUCAUAUGUGAGCAUUACCGCAUAACUUCCGUGCUCACAUCUAGGAGCCCACAGAAAGCGAUUAACUUUACAUUGCACUUUUAAUGUAGCAUGGAUUAGAGUCCAUGGCUAGGGGGGCCUUCGGUUUACUGUCGGGUAUCAGGGGUUAAACUGUUUGAAACCUAGUCCAACCAUCCUCUUAUUUAUGACAGAUCCCUUCUUUACCAUCCCUCCCCGCUGCUUACGUCUUCCAACAGGGAACUUACAGCACACGCAGACUCGUGGAUUUGGGUGUUUAUGUCAUGAAUUUGAGAGACCCUGUGGUCCUUCAGAGGGUUAAACUUAUCCAAAUCUCACAGCUGUAGCGGAGGAUUUGCAAUCCUGUGUCUCUCUUGCUCUGCAAUCCUGCCACCUGGUUUCACCUGUGAACCACUUUAAUUAUCUUUUUCUCUGUUGGACUUGAAUCUGCCCCUCUGAAUGUACUUUAAGCCACUGAGGCUCAUUCUAACUCUGAAGCCAUACCAAACAAGUCUAACAAUUGUCUGGUGACGGAUAUGUCAUAUGUAACAAGUUUUUGUUUGUUUGUUUAUUUGUUUUAACUUUUUUAUCUGAUAGGCGCUGGAUCUUGUCAAAAGUCUAUAAUUUGCUCUUAAGGAUGUAGUAAGAAUAUAGUGACAGAUUUGUAUCUUUAAACAGAAACUAAGUUUCUGAAA